rnacentral:rRNA from 1 species
AUACGUAGGUGGCAAGCGUUGUACGGAAUUAUUGGGCGUAAAGCGCAUGUAGGCGGUUUGGUAAGUCGGUCGUGAAAAUGCGGUGCUUAACGCCGUAUGGCGAUCGAAACUGAUGAACUUGAGUGCAGGAGAGGAAAGGGGAACUCCCCGUGUAGCGGGUAAAUGCGUAGAGAUUGGGAAGAACACCGGUGGCGAAGGCGCCUUGCUGGACUGUGUCUGAAGCUCAGAUGCGAAAGCCAGGGUAGCGAACGGGAUUAGAUACCCCGGUAGUCCUGGCCGUAAACGAUGGGUACUAGGUGUGGGAGGUAUCGACUCCUUCCGUGCCGGAGUUGACGCAAUAAGUACCACGCCUGGGGAGUACGGCCGCAAGGCUUAAACUCAAAUGAAUUGACGGGG